rnacentral:lncRNA from 1 species
GGAUUCAUAGCAAAGAUAGCGUCCUUCACUUCCUUCUCCGUAACUGCUCUGGUCAGGUCCCUAUUGAUUUGAUCUGUAACUGUAGAAGGAAUACCAGCCAUUAGUUGUGGACUUAUGCUGAUCCCUCUACUGCUAUAUAAGCGGUAAAAAUAAUCUUCAACAUGAUGAUGAAUAUCUUUCGGUUCCUUAUAGAUCUUCCCUUUAUCAUCCUGGAUGUGGACAAUUCGAUUGUAGUUCCUUCUUUGCUUUGUCUUGGCGUGGAAAAAUUUAGUAUUCUUAUCACCAGCUUGAAGCCAGAGCACCCUGCUUUUUGUUCUCCAGAACUCUUCUUCUAACCUGUAAUGGAAACAGAGUUGUGCUUUUAGGCUAUUGAUAAGAGAGUAGUCAAGGGUAGGAGCUUCAUAAGCUUUGUGCAGAUCAUUCUUAAGUUGAGCGAUUUGUUUUCCUGAAUUCGUGCUCAACUUGCUUCUCCAUUGAGAUAGAGCAUUGCGACAUUUCCUAAUAAUAUUAUGAAGGUCUCCAGUAGACAAGUUUAUACCCUCCUGAGUGCAUGUUUGCUCUAUUACUUCCCUAAGACCCGGGAAAAAUCUCCAUCUCGAAUCAUAUCUAAAAAUCUUAGACCUUUUCCUUCUAGGACCAUCC